AAAGAGAAAAAAGGGAAACAAAGGAAAAUUACAAAGAUAUUAAAAUGUCCUAGCCAAAUUCCCCCUCUCGCUCCUCCAAAUUCUCCUCCCGCUUUCUCCCAAAUACCGGUUCCCUCCAAAUUCUAUUUUUCCAUUAAAUCAUAUUCCCUCGCAUUUAUGCCCAUUUCUCCUCAGACCUAGUCGUUUCUCCCUCUAGUUUCUUCUGUGAACUGUUUUCUAGGGUUUAGUUUCAUUCUUUCGCUUUCUUUGUAUCUCUAUUACUUACAUUGUUUUAAUCUCUUGUGAAGUAUUCAACUGCAAAGUGCGGGAAUCAGCAGGCAAUUGCUAUUUUGCAAAUUCAGACAUUCAGCUUUCCAAAAUUCUUUCAAAUCUCCUUCAACAGGGUCCAAUAUAUCAGUUAUCAAUAUUGGUUAAGCAAGGAAAAUAUCAAUUGAGUUGAAUGACCAGAAGAUAACAAUUGUGUUGAAUGGCCAGUCUUCCAAUGUGGAGAGCUUCACCAUCUAUAAGUUGGAAGCUUAUUACAUAACAGUU